UAGGGAAUCUUCCGCAAUGGACGCAAGUCUGAUGGAGCAACGCCGCGUGAGUGAAGAAGGUUUUCGGAUCGUAAAGCUCUGUUGUUGGUGAAGAAGGAUAGAGGUAGUAACUGGCCUUUAUUUGACGGUAAUCAACCAGAAAGUCACGGCUAACUACGUGCCAGCAGCCGCGGUAAUACGUAGGUGGCAAGCGUUGUCCGGAUUUAUUGGGCGUAAAGCGAGCGCAGGCGGAAAAUAGUCUAAUGUGAAAGCCCUCGGCUUAACCGAGGAACUGCAUCGGAAACUGUUUUUCUUGAGUGCAGAAG
rnacentral:rRNA from 1 species